AUUAGUUUAAAAAUGAUAAGGGAGCAUAACAGCCAAAGGUGGCAAAAGGAGAAGACAGACCACAUAUUUCGAGAUCACCAGUUAAUUCAGCGCUACGUUAUUCACGUGAUAUCAAGAAAUCUGCAUUGAUUAACAUCAGCACUACAUCUUGAGCAUACAGAGGACAAGAGUAGCUGACAUCAAACUGCCCUACAGUUUCCAUUGCUUGCCAGGGCACAAGGGUGCCAGCUGACCACGCGCAGCUGGAUAAUAGCAGGGACAGGCCUUGUGGAGCUUCCGCAGUCCAGGCAGCUGUGGCUGGCCUCAGCUCUGCACGUCAAGCCACCUGCGGGGCACAGCACGGUUUCUCGCAGUGGGUGGUGGUCGCCCCAUCAGUCUCCCCCAGACUGGUGGCUCUCAGAUGCCCUCCCUCCUGCUGGUGCGUGCCUCACCGUGUGCCACUCACGCACAGACAGAUGUACUGCCAUCCUUUGGGAGAGGAGGCUGCAGGGGACAGCAGAUUUGGUCAGUGACUUACCUCCACAGCAAAUUAUAGCAGCCACAAAAAGGGAGAUAUCACUGUCAUCCAGCUCCAGCGCGUUGAACUUCAUUGCAAAAUCAAACUUAGGUUCCAUGAUAUCACAAAACGGUUUCCUUAGGCUCUUCAGGAAUUCACGCGUUAUAAAACCGUUUCCAUAUGCUACCAGCAUUCCAUCUUUAUUCAUCACAGAAGACAGCAUGGCAAAUAUGGCCUCAUAAACUCCGUAUUUCAGCAAAGUGACCUGAUCGUUUAAGUCCAAGUUGGCAAAGCCUGGGAUGGACUUGGCAAACUCAGUGAGCUCGGUGACGGUCUCCACAGACGUACACUGGCAGCAGUGGAAGAUGCGGACUUCCGCCUCCUUGUUCUGGAUGCCGUUGGCCACCAACUUGGCCACCAGAGUCUUCUCGGCCAUACACAAUGUCUCCAUGUCAUGUAUGACAAAGGGCUGCAACGAAAGACACGGAAAUGAGCCAGGUCGCCGGGGACAGGCUGUCCUCUUAAUUAUCAAAGAACUGAUGAGCAGCCAGUGUCUGCAGAUCACCUGCGGAGAAGCGCGAUAUGAACAAAAUGCUGUCUUCGUCCUUAAAUAACCUCAAAGUUGGCUGGGGACACAAAGACAUUUAUGGAGAACUAGCGAUAUAAAUCUGUAAGAGUCAUUAUGAUGCCUGGUUGCUAGGAGCUCUGAGGUAGAGCGAGCCCAGAAGAUAGGAGUUGCCGACACGCUGCCUCCAUCCGCUGUCUCUGGGACCGACACCGUCUUCCCAACACCCAACCUUGGUCCCCUCAGCCCCUCCCUGCGGCCAGGGGCCACCUCAGGCGGGAGAGCAAGCAGCAGCCAGGCCACCUACCGGGUUGUUGCUGGCCUUCCCUGCCAGGAUGACCCGGGCCUUGACCUUGUUCAUGUUGAAGUUCUUGAGGUAGGCCUCAUAAAUUCUCUUGGCGAGGGACUUCAGAUCUGCCGUUUCUGCAUCUUCUGGGUCAUGUUCGCAGGUGAGAAUUUCCGCUUUCAGUUUUGCUUUUUCAGAUCUUGGCAUUCGUCCAAAGCGAAUUGCUGGGGGGCAGGGAGGGGGGCCACGGGAGAGAACGGGAAGCGAGCAGAGGUGAGCAUCAGGGUGCACGAUAGGGGGACGGGCCUCUGGGCAGAGAACGUGUGCCGAGAAUUCAACCACGAACCAAAGCCGCCCCGUCAGGACAGUCAACAUUGUACUGCUCUCUCUAUUCUGGAGAGAGGAAAAUGAAACACAACCCUCCAUAAACUCUGGACUUCUUCAAGAGGCUAAAAGACAAGGCGACACCCUCACUUGUUUCGUCAGUAGGAUCAGCUGAAGGUUCAAAAUUGUCCUUUAGGACAAUUGUCCUAAUUGACCUAAUUAUCAUGAGGUCCAAACUUGAACCGAGUUUGAGGAGAUGGCAGUGACCCCUAGGGUGACUUCAUGUGACACCUUUUUCUUUGUCCAGAAGGUAGACCUGCGACCACUGGGAACUAGUCAUUUUAGAUCUACUGGCACGUUCUAAAAUGACAGCAGGGUUCAGAAUAACAAUAUUUGCCGCACACGUGCUUUGUGGGGAUGCUGCUUCCACGCUGGCAUCCCAGAGGGAUUUCCAUUCGGUCUGAAAACCUUCAGUCAAAGGCUUACCGUGUGAAGUGUCUAAGAGGAAUUCCGGGAGCUCUGUUGCGUCUCAGCUACGUGACACUUCCCCCUUCUUAGGCUAUCUGGGUUGCAAAACGAUCUGGGCACUACGUGCAUUCAUUCAAAACACAAUCCGUGGCGACCAGACAAGGGAGGUGGGCUGAGGCACGGGCUGCAGAAGCGCCCUAGACAACCUUACCUACCGUUAUGGGACAUCCCGACCGAAAGGCACUUGUGGAAACGACAGUAUUGGCACUUAUUCCGGUUCUUUUUCUGAAUCUUGCAGCUGCGGUCACAUCUGUCAUAGGCCAGCUUCAGCCGAAUGGUUCGCCGGAAGAAACCCUGUGGGAUGGACGUAAGGUUGGGGAGGGGUGUUUCUGGCCAUUCAUUUACUGUACUUUUCAAAUGAACUGAAAUUAGUAAAAUUGUUCUAAGAAGUCUGACUUAAUCGGGACAAACUGAAAAA